GACAAAGGUGGCAAGCGUUGUUCGGAAUCACUAAGCAUAAAGCGCACAUAAACGGCCCUGUUAGUCGCAUGUGAAAUACCUCGGCUCAACCGAGGAACUGCGCGCAAUACUGCAGGGCUUAAGGUCCGAAGGGGAAAGUGGAAUUCCCAAUGGAACGGUGAAAUGCGUAGAUAUCUGGAGGAACACCGGUGGCGAAGGCGGCAUCCUGGACCGAUAUUGACGCUGAUGCGCGAAAGCCAGGGGAGCAAACGGG
rnacentral:rRNA from 1 species